rnacentral:tRNA from 1 species
GAGUCGGUAGCUCAGUUGGUAGAGCAACGGACUUUUAAUCCGUGGGUCGCGGGUUCGAGCCCCGCCCGACUCA